rnacentral:tRNA from 2 species
GGACCAUUAGCUCAGUCGGUUAGAGCGUACGCUUGAUAAGCGUAAGGUCGUUGAUUCAAGUUCAACAUGGUCCA